UGCCAGCCGCCGCGGUAAUACGGAGGGUGCGAGCGUUGUUCGGAAUCACUGGGCAUAAAGCGCGCGUAGGCGGCAGCAUCAGUCAGCUGUGAAAUCCCUCGGCUCAACCGAGGAACUGCAGCUGAAACUGUGUUGCUAGAGUGUGGGAGGGGAGAACGGAAUUCCUGGUGGAGCGGUGAAAUGCGUAGAUAUCAGGAGGAACGCCGGAGGCGAAAGCGGUUCUCUGGCCCACAACUGACGCUCAGGGACGAAAGCGUAGGUAGCGAAUCGGAUUAGAUA
rnacentral:rRNA from 1 species